GACGAACGCUGGCGGCGUGCUUAACACAUGCAAGUCGAACGGAAAGGCCCUGCUUUUGUGGGGUGCUCGAGUGGCGAACGGGUGAGUAACACGUGAGUAACCUGCCCUUGACUUUGGGAUAACUUCAGGAAACUGGGGCUAAUACCGGAUAGGAGCUCCUGCUGCAUGGUGGGGGUUGGAAAGUUUCGGCGGUUGGGGAUGGACUCGCGGCUUAUCAGCUUGUUGGUGGGGUAGUGGCUUACCAAGGCUUUGACGGGUAGCCGGCCUGAGAGGGUGACCGGCCUCAUUGGGACUAAGAGACGGCCCAGACUCCUACGGGAGGCAGCAGUGGGGAAUAUUGCACAAUGGGCGGAAGCCUGAUGCAGCAACGCCGCGUGCGGGAUGACGGCCUUCGGGUUGUAAACCGCUUUCGCCUGUGACGAAGCGUGAGUGACGGUAAUGGGUAAAGAAGCACCGGCUAACUACGUG
rnacentral:rRNA from 1 species